rnacentral:rRNA from 1 species
ACGGCUCAGUAACACGUAGUCAACCUACCCUAUGGACAAGAAUAAUCUCGGGAAACUGAGCAUAAUUCUUGAUAGAUCAUAAUGCCUGGAAUGGUAUAUGGUUAAAAUGAUUCGUCGCCAUAGGAUGGGACUGCGGCUUAUCAGCUUGUUGGUGAGGUAAUGGCCCACCAAGGCGAUUACAGGUACGGGCUCUGAGAGGAGAAGCCCGGAGAUGGGUACUGAGACAAGGACCCAGGCCCUAUGGGGCGCAGCAGGCGAGAAAACUUUGCAAUGUGCGAAAGCACGACAAGGUUAGUCCGAGUGAUUUCUGCUAAAGAGAUCUUUUGCUAGUUAUAAAACCACUAGUGAAUAAGGGGUGGGCAAGUUCUGGUGUCAGCCGCCGCGGUAAAACCAGCACCUCAAGUGGUCAGGAUGAUUAUUGGGCCUAAAGCAUCCGUAGCCGGCUCUGUAAGUUUUCGGUUAAAUCUAUGCGCUCAACGUAUGGGCUGCCGAAAAUACUGCAGAGAUAGGGAGUGGGAGAGGUAGACGGUACUCGGUAGGAAGGGGUAAAAUCCUUUGAUCUAUCGAUGACCACCUGUGGCGAAGGCGGUCUACCAGAACACGUUCGACGGUGAGGGAUGAAAGCUGGGGGAGCAAACCGGAUUAGAUACCCGGGUAGUCCCAGCCGUAAACGAUGCAGACUCGAUGAUGCAUUGGCAUAUAGCCAGUGCAGUGUCGCAGGGAAGCCGUUAAGUCUGCCGCCUGGGAAGUACGUACGCAAGUAUGAAACUUAAAGGAAUUGGCGGGGGAGCA